rnacentral:lncRNA from 1 species
GUUUGCAUUUGGAUUUGUUGAAGGACAAGCCUGACUGAGAUGACCAAUGUUCUAAGUUCACAAGAUCAGCUUGGAGAGAUGCUACAUCGUCCUGAGAUGUAAUUGCCGAGAAUAGCUUAGUGUCAUCGGCAAACAUUGCAACUCGAGAGUACAAGUCUGCUUCGGGUAGAUCAUUCACAUAUAACAGGAAGAGUGCACUCAGUGCAGGACCAAGAAUUGACCCUUGUGGAACGCCUGAGGUCACAGGAAGGGUGCUUGAGGUUACGCCGAGUACAGUCACGCGUUGACGACGAUCUGUCAAAUAUGACUCGAACCAAUUCAGUAGAUUACCGCCGAUACUUUGUUUACUCUCUGAGGACUGAUAGUGGAUUUUAAUAUGCGUACUCGAUCAAGUAUUUGUCAAUGUAUGCUUUCUUCGUGUACUCGAUCAGAAGUAGUCGGCUGUACGCUUGCUAUUAAGCAUACUCAAUCAAAAGUAUUAAAACGGGCAAACAGCUGUACGCUUUCUAAGCGUACUCGAUCAAAACUUAAACGGUUGUACCCAUAUUCGGUAUACUCGAUCAAAACUAAACGACUGUACGCAUAUUUUGUGUGCUCCAUCUAGUUUAUAUUCAAAAUAUCCAUCAGACAUCACAUGUAUCUAAACUAUCAAACUUUAUAAUUCCAUCGCGGCAGUCGGGCUGCAAGCAGUGUGACCGGCAGUCAGGAAAUUUAGUCCUAUUUAAAGUGUUAAAAAUAUUCUCUUAAAAAAAUUAAACCACCCCACACACAACCCUAAGACCGAAGCUUAAAAUCCAGUACUCAAAAGAAGUUGAAAAAAAAAUUUAACUUGAAAAUAGAACUGUUCCUUACUUGCGGUACUCGAACCCGGAAGCCACGCUUCGCAGGCGGGCGCCUAAGCCACUGCGCGACGAGGAGCCCGCUCCGUUUACUCGUAAAUAAUGCACUUUAAAGGAGUGGGAGUAAGCUAAGAUUUAAAUCUUGACGCGAAUACGCUGAAUACGCAGAUAUUUUGCAAAUCCUUUAGCUGGAGUAAACGCUUAGCAAGCGUCUUGUUUUGAUCGUAUUUUGAGCUCAAAAUAUUUUAUUUUGAAGGCUUUAAAACGCAGUUUUGAUCCUAACGUACGGACCAACUGGCGGCCGACAGGAGAAUGUGUAGCGUGCUAAAUAUAACUUUACUUGUGCAUGUAGGCACAGAAUAAGAAGAUACAGCAGAAGCGUCACUCGAGUCGGUUCCCUUAUUGUUUUACGUCCACGAAAAUUUUAACUCGCUCACGCCAUCCUGGCUAGUACAACCGGAAGUUUUUAUCAGGUUUUGGUAGGUACAAAGUGCCGGUUGUACCAGGGCGCUAUAAAACACGGGCGGGGAAACGCGCUAAUAAAUGACCGUGCUACGUGUGAUGCACAUUAGGAUUGGUGCGAGCGCGCUUUCUCUAAAAAAAACCAGAAAAUCGCGUACAAGAUGGCAACAAAAAAAUGUAAACAAGCAAACGAGAAAACAAUCAAUCAAUCAAUCAAUCAAUCAAACUUUAUUUACCCACGGUACUAUUUCACAAAGACAAAAACUAAAAUAUUUACAAGAUGUGAUCUUCCAAUAGGCCGUGCUAUAUAUGUAUGAAUAAUUACAUGCAAUUAUAAAAAUAUUUUAUUAAGUUAAUACAAUAAAAUCGAAGAGAAAAAGAAAAAAGAUAAAUUGAUUAUCAAGAAUUAUUACGACUAUUUGACACUAGAGCCCUUUUGAAGGUUGACAAUGAACCCAUAUUUUUUAUAUUAGGUAAUAAAUCAUUCCAAGCUACAGCUCCUCUGUACGAGAAUGAUUUUUUACAAAAGUUGGUACUUGGUCUCGGGAGUGCAAAGUUAAAAUCAGCCUGCCUAGUUUGAUGAUUAUGAAGUGUACUGGUUUUCGUGAAUAAAUCAAUUAGGUAAUCAGGCACCAUAUUAUUAUUUACCUGAUACAUAGUAGUACAUAAUUGAUUAUUUCUUCUGUGACUUAAAUUAGGUAAAUCUAAUUCUUUAAGUAUAUCGGCUGAUCUAAAUUCAUACCCACGCUUUGUAAUGAUACGUGCUGCUCUAUUUUGUAAACGUUGCAACUGGUUUUGAAGGGUAAUUCCAAGACAACCCAAUACUUGCGAGCAGUAAUCAAAGUGUGGUUGAAUUAAAGUUUUGUAAACUGUUACUAGAGUCCUUACAUCAACAAAAUCUCUUAAUCGUCUAAGGACGUAAAGACCCUUGUUCACUUUCUUUGUAAUUAGAUCUGUUUGAGAAUGCCAGGUUAAGGUCUCAUCUACCAUCAUACCCAGUGAUUUAGUAACG